rnacentral:lncRNA from 1 species
AUAUAAUUUUUUGCUCUUAUGGUUCUAGCCAACAAAUUAUAGAAUUGGAGUGUUGGGGAAUUCAAUUCAUGGUCUGCAGUUGCCUUCGUUAUUUUGUAAAGUAAUACGGAAUCUUCUCUGGUAGUUCUACGACACAGUAGUGAGACUUGAUAUGCUGAGAAUUUUCGUCUUCUACAAGCAUCAGGGUUCCAAGAUUGACGGCAUAGAGAAUUGAAGUAGCUGGGUAACUCAUGCAGUGGAAAUUAAACAGUAAGUCUCCUUUCAAGUAAGGAUCUUGCUGACCCUAACCGUGGAAUAGGAAAUGGAAAAUUAAGUAGCAUCUCUCUCUGAUAUAACUUGGACUGCGAGAGCAAGGAAAUCGUUGAAUCCUUAAAUAGAAGGGUUAUUGUUAAACAUUAUAAACCUAACAAGAUACUUUCUGCUGGCCCUUCGUCUCUCUCUCUCUGGGUGAGUUCAAGACACCUAGGUUAGGAAAUAAAUUGAUGUGGCCAAAAAAAUAACUGAAUUAAUUUUUUUAGUAACACGUAAUGCUUCCACUGUAAGAGGUUUUGAAUUUGAAAUUUGAAACGGUUGUGAACCGUUUCUCCCCAUUUAAACUCAUUUAAAGCCAUCCUAAAUGCAAUACAAACGUUGGGCUCCAACGUUGAUCCAGAUGGGAGAGAGAGGAGAGCUCUCGCACACUCAUUAAUUCCUUCUCUUCACAUCCGUUAGAGGGCUUUUUUCCUUCUACGGUUUUCCUUGCUUUUUCUGAUUUUUUUUGUCUUUCAAGUGGUGAGGGGAGAAGACAAGAGGGGUUAUCUUGUGGUUGGCCUCCUCUU